GUAGACGGCCAUAGCACCCUUAACGCGCCCGAUCUCGUCUGAUCUUGCAAGCUAAAACUGUAAUCACUUUCCCUGAUAAAUUCCUUAAGUCUUUAUGUACAACAGGUUAAAAUCAGUCGUCCAGU
rnacentral:rRNA from 1 species